GCGCGCGGUGCGGAGCUGGCGAGCCCGGGGCGGCGGGGGUGCGGGAGCUCGCCGGACACCCGGUCGCCCGCGGCCGAGUCGCGGAGGCGCUCGCUGCAGUGGCCGCAUCUCCGAGGUUGUCCCCGAGGAGGACACUGGUUCCCCCUGUUUCAGGGGCCUGGACUCACACCGCACCCCAGCAGCACGGGGAGGCCAGCGCAGGACACCUGGGUGCCAGCUUGGCAGGACCUGGCUCCUUCAAGGACACCAACAUGGAGUUUCAGGAGUCAGGACAGAGUCUGGGAGUGUGCUGGGGGACUUGGGGUCACACUGGUGGGCUCUCCCCCCUCUCAGAGCGGGGGCCCAGGGGCAGGUGGGCAGGAGGAGGGGCUGGCAUUUCUCAGAGAGGGUCUCUGGGAGGCUGCUCACCUCCAGGCCAGAGGUUCCCAGGGAGAUGGGGCCAGAGGAGGGGCUCAUGCGGCCCCCAGGAAGAGUGACAGAAGCCAGCAGCAUGUGGAGGACUGGGGGACGGGGGUCUGGGUGAGCUCUGGCUUCCCUGUGGCCUGUCCAGAUUCCCAGACACAUGUGCCCUGCCGGCCCCCACCUUACCCCACUCUGCACACCAUCCCUGGUCUCCGAUUCUAGUGUAAGUGCACUCUUCCACAGAGCCUGCGCACAGACACCUGGUCCUGCUCACAGACACACCCGGCUCUGUUCACAGACACACCUGGUCAUGCUCACAGACACACCUGCUUCUGUUGCAGGAACAUCACUAACAGGGAAUUCCAGUGUUCCUGGUCAGGAAUUCUGUGUGCUGAUGUCCAUGUGGCAGCUGACAGUGGUCUGUCGGGGUCUGUCCUGUGUCACCUUUUCUGUAAGUUUUGCUUUAGGCAGUCGAGGCUUAAGGAGGUUGUUUAAAAAAAUUUCUUGCGGCUCCA